AGAGUUUGAUCAUGGCUCAGAGCGAACGCUGGCGGCGUGCUUAACACAUGCAAGUCGAACGUGAAAGGGAGCAAUCCUGAGUAAAGUGGCGUACGGGUGAGUAACGCGUAGGUAAUCUACCCUAAAAUCUGGAAUAACCUGACGAAAGUCGGGCUAAUACUGGAUAGAGCGACGGAAUCCGUAAUUGGGUUUUUCGGGAAAGGGAGCUCGCAAGAGCCUUCGUUUUAGGAUGAGCCUGCGUCCCAUUAGCUAGUUGGCGAGGUAAAAGCUCACCAAGGCAUUGAUGGGUAGCUGGUCUGAGAGGAUGAUCAGCCACACUGGAACUGAAACACGGUCCAGACUCCUACGGGAGGCAGCAGUGGGGAAUCUUGCGCAAUGGACGAAAGUCUGACGCAGCAACGCCGCGUGAGUGAAGAAGGCCUUAGGGUUGUAAAGCUCUGUCGCCCGGGACGAAAAUAUUUGGAGUUAAUAGCUUCAGAUACUGACGGUACCGGGAGAGGAAGCACCGGCUAACUCCGUGCCAGCAGCCGCGGUA
rnacentral:rRNA from 1 species